rnacentral:rRNA from 1 species
CAGUAGCCACGGUAAUACUUAGGGUGCGAGCGUUAAUCGGAAUUACUGGGCGUAAAGCGUGCGCAGGCGGUUAUGUAAGACAGUUGUGAAAUCCCCGGGCUCAACCUGGGAACUGCAUCUGUGACUGCAUAGCUAGAGUACGGUAGAGGGGGAUGGAAUUCCGCGUGUAGCAGUGAAAUGCGUAGAUAUGCGGAGGAAUACCGAUGGCGAAGGCAGCCCCCUGGGCCAAUACUGACGCUCAUGCACGAAAGCGUGGGGAGCAAACAGGAUUAGAUACCCCGGUAGUCCCUGUCUCUUAUAC